UACGUAGGGUGCAAGCGUUGUCCGGAAUUAUUGGGCGUAAAGAGCUCGUAGGCGGUCUGUCGCGUCGGCUGUGAAAACCCGGAGCUCAACUCCGGGCCUGCAGUCGAUACGGGCAGACUGGAGUUCGGCAGGGGAGACUGGAAUUCCUGGUGUAGCGGUGAAAUGCGCAGAUAUCAGGAGGAACACCGGUGGCGAAGGCGGCUCACUGGCUCAUUUCUGACGCUCAGGCGCGACAGCGUGGGGAUCAAACAGG
rnacentral:rRNA from 1 species